UGAUAACGUUCGGAAGAUUUGAUUUCAGGCAAAUUCUGGUUUUCGAAUAUAAAAUUACAUCUUUUGACGGAUAUAAACCUGCCGUACCUUGUUGUGAUAUUGUGAUUGGGUAAUUCUGCUGUGGAGCGAUCUUGCAAUAUCCUUAUUAUCGAUUGGGAUGAAUUUUAUCGAAUGAAUUAUUUCUUCCGGACCGUUUAAAAACAUCUCCGGCAAUGUUAGGGCAGUCGAGCAAUGGGAGAUGUUUUUCUCUGAUAUGGUAAAUCGAAAUUUCGCCCGGACGAUGCUACCUUUGAGAACACGUCGAAGUGGAUGGGAUCAGACCUUUUUGAACUUUAUUGCCUUGUACGUAGCGACUAAACCACAAAUUUUCCGAAGUCAUAUGGAUAGUGGUGUUCCUAUUUCGACCGUGUGGACGUGGAAUUAAGAGCUUUUCACGAAUUUGCGUAAUAGCGGGCCAUAGGAAUCUACACAUCACUAGCAGCUAGAUAAGUACCGAUUAGAAGUUUUAUUAAUGGUGUUGUUUUUGCGGUAUUCUGACAUUAUUGUUUACGAAAGCAAUGAACCUCGC